rnacentral:rRNA from 1 species
GCAUAUCAAUAAGCGGAAGGAAAAAGAAACCAACAGGGAUUGCCCCUAGUAACGGCGAGUGAAGCGGCAACAGCUCAAAUUUGAAAUCUGGCUCUUUUAGAGUCCGAGUUGUAAUUUGCAGAGGGCGCUUUGGCGUUGGCAGCGGUCCAAGUUCUUUGGAACAGGACGUCACAGAGGGUGAGAAUCCCGUACGUGGUCGCUAGCCUUCGCCGUGUAAAGCCCCUUCGACGAGUCGAGUUGUUUGGGAAUGCAGCUCUAAAUGGGAGGUAAAUUUCUUCUAAAGCUAAAUACUGGCCAGAGACCGAUAGCGCACAAGUAGAGUGAUCGAAAGAUGAAAAGCACUUUGGAAAGAGAGUCAAAUAGCACGUGAAAUUGUUGAAAGGGAAGCGCUUGCAGCCAGACUUGCCUGUAGUUGCUUAUCCGGACUUUUGUCCGGUGCACUCUUCUGCGGGCAGGCCAGCAUCAGUUUAGGCGGUUGGAUAAAGGUCUCUAUCACGUACCUCCCUUCGGGGUUGGCCUUAUAGGGGAGACGACAUGCAACCAGCUUGAACUGAGGUCCGCGCAUCUGCUAGGAUGCUGGCGUAAUGGCUGUAAGCGGCCCGUCUUGAAACACGGACCAAGGAGUCUAACAUCUAUGCGAGUGUUUGGGUGUCAAGCCCAGACGCGUAAUGAAAGUGAACGGAGGUGGGAACCUUUUAGGUGCACCAUCGACCGAUCCUGAUGUCUUCGGAUGGAUUUGAGUAAGAGCAUGGCUGUUGGGACCCGAAAGAUGGUGAACUAUGCUUGAAUAGGGUGAAGCCAGAGGAAACUCUGGUGGAGGCUCGCAGCGGUUUCUGACGUGCAAAUCGAUCGUCAAAUUUGGGCAUAGGGGCGAAAGACUAAUCGAAACUAUCUAGUAGCUGGUUCUGCGGAG